rnacentral:rRNA from 1 species
UGAGGAAUAUUGCACAAUAGGCGCAAGCCUGAUGCAGCAACGCCGCGUGGACGAUGAAGGCCUUCGGGUUGUAAAGUCCUUUUCUGGGGGAAGACAUGGACGGUACCCCAGGAAUAAGUGUCGGCUAACUACGUGCCAGCAGCCGCGGUAAAACGUAGGACGCGAGCGUUAUCCGGAUUUACUGGGCGUAAAGCGCGUGCAGGCGGUCUGUUAAGUCGUGCGUGAAAGCUCCCCGGCUCAACCGGGGGAGGUCGUACGAAACUGGCAGGCUUGAAGGCAGCAGAGGAGGGGGGAAUUCCGGGUGUAGUGGUGAAAUGCGUAGAUAUCCGGAGGAACACCAGUGGCGAAGGCGACACUCUGGGCUGUACCUGACGCUAAGACGCGAAAGCAUGGGU